UAAUCUCACUCCAACUUUUGUUGAUGGAUGUGGACUUGGACCCUGCUGUGUUACUACAACUGGUCUUAAAUGUAUGAGUGCACCCUGCUGUUGCAGCGUCUUCAGUGUGAUAAGUAUCUUCACUGGAUAAAGUUCCUUUGGGACACGCAGGCAUUGUGGGCUCUGUGCUACCAACAGUCUUUGGACAACUUUGACA
rnacentral:misc_RNA from 1 species